rnacentral:rRNA from 1 species
AGCGAACGCUGGCGGCAGGCCUAAUACAUGCAAGUCGAGCGCCCUUUCGGGGGAGCGGCGGACGGGUGAGUAACGCGUGGGAACGUGCCCUUUGGUACGGAACAACUGAGGGAAACUUCAGCUAAUACCGUAUGUGCCCUUCGGGGAAAGGAUUUAUCGCCAUUGGAGCGGCCCGCGUUGGAUUAGGUAGUUGGUGAGGUAAAGGCUCACCAAGCCUUCGAUCCAUAGCUGGUCUGAGAGGAUGAUCAGCCACACUGGGACGUGAGACACGGCCCAGACUCCUACGGGAGGGCAGCAGUAGGGAAUCUUGCGCAAUGGGCGAAAGCCUGACGCAGCCAUGCCGCGUGAAUGAUGAAGGUCUUAGAUUGUAAAUUACUUCACCGGGAAGAUAAUGACGAUACCCGGAGAAGAAGCCCCGGCUAACUUCGUGCCAGCAGCCGCUGU